UACGUAGGCAGCAAGCGUUGUUCGGAGUUACUGGGCGUAAAGGGUGUGUAGGCGGUUCCUUAAGUUUGCUGUGAAAUCUCCCGGCUUAACCGAGGAACUGCCCUCCAAACUGCUUAGCUUGAGACCGGGAGAGGUGAGUGGAAUUCCCAGUGUAGCGGUGAAAUGCGUAGAUAUUGGGAGGAACACCAGUGGCGAAGGCGGCUCACUGGACCGGUACUGACGCUGAUGCGCGAAAGCGUGGGGAGCAAACGGG
rnacentral:rRNA from 1 species